AAUAUUCGGUCUAACGGUUUUUGGGCGGUAUUCGGCGCCGAAUUUUCGACCAACCGCAUAUUCGGUACAUCUCUAGUUUCCAGCAAUUGAUAUUGCUUGAUUUUCAGUAAUUUAGUUUGCUGGAUUUUUCAGUAAUCAAAAUUGCUGAAUAUUUUGCUAAAAAGCCAACAGGACAAAACCCACACACAAAAUUUCUCGGCCUCAACUUAGCAAAAAGAGGUCAUUACUUUCCGUUAGCAAAAUUUUUUUUUUACUAAUGAGUUAGUACUUUCCCAUUUUGUUAUGUGUUUUGCUCAAGUUGAGUAAAAAAAACCCAUUUGCUACUGCAUUUAGUUAUUUACGGUAGUAGGGACUUAAACUUUUAGCGUGUGCUCAAACCAGGCUGUGUUUUGUUUUUAUUUUCGGACGUUGCAAAAUUUCGGAGCAGAAAAAUGUCAGUGCCGCGGCUCAACUUCCCACCAACCGGAGCAACCAUCAGUGGUUUUCGUUCGCUCUUCCUUAAUAUUGGUGAGUUUAAGAUUUGUUUUGAAUUUGAAAGGAAACUUUUUUGGUUUUUUUUCAGAUACCCCGUUUGGGUGUAGCCGUUUGGAAAUAGUAGAUUGUGUUGAUAGCGGGCUAUCCGGGAACGAUUGUGCCGCUCGUUUGGGACACCUGUGUGUUCACACUUAUUGAACCUUUCGUGCAUGAGAACUUGUACCCGAAAAGCAGAUUAUCAACUCCGGCUGUUGGAUAAUUCUGGUAGACUCUGUGGAUCUUCUACUUGGACAGUUCAGAAGAUGCGCAGCUAAAAGGAUUUUAGCUUGAUUUGUCUCGCGUGCUGCAGUAAUAGAACCCGGGGAUCCAGAGGCGUGAAAGCUAUAAUUAAUCAAACGAUUUUCGUUUGAGUGAAAUUCAAUGAGGAACGGAGGAAGAAUUGCCAUUUUCGAAGCCGCUGCCAAAAGAAACCAAAAAACAUUAUUUCGAUUCGGUCUCGGUAACUUCGUUCCACUGUUUGAGACCUGAGAGGACGGUGGAAUCUUCACCACCCACGAAUUUCCGAAAUGAAAAAGAAAGUGCCAAAUUUAGAUUCUUAGCUUCUAUCACCCUACGCCAACAUGCGGGGCAAUUGAAACAAUCAUCUUAUUUUCUAAUUCGACCCCAUGCAUCAUUCAGUGCUGGAUUCUUAUGCAGAACCUUCCCUGUCAGGAACGUUUGCUCAAUCGGGCCGAUUGCAAAACAGACAUGGCGGCACUCGAAUUCUAGCGGUUAGAAUUCGGUCGGUUUUCGGCUCGAUUUCCAUCCGCCUGCUCGAUUGCUCGAAAACAGACGAUAUUUUGCGCAGUGCUGCGAUGAACAAAACGAAACACGAGCAGUUUUCAAUCGCAGCAAUCCGGGUGCGUGUUUUGUUUUGGUGUCUGUUGUUGUGAAUUGUGUUGUGGAAUUUGAUCGCAGUUGUCCGGCGAUAAUUUAAUAUUAAGCAAGAAAACAUCGACCCCUGCAAACAAAGCUUCCAAGGAAAUGUCCCGUGUGUAUGGGCUUUGGUGGAAUGUCAUCGCGGACAUCGGAACCGGAUCCGGAUCCCGGACCAACUCAGAGGUGGUGGCUUUACUUGGAUUACUUUUAAUUAGUUUUUGGCGUGAAACUUCAAAGUGAAAAGCAAAGUGAUGCAAUUUUACAACGUUCCCCUUACGCACUUUUCCGCAGACUGUCGAAAACAGGCGCAAAUAAAUUCUGUUAGGGCGUCAUCCCGGAGGACUCCGAAUAUCCAUAGAACAACGGGUGCGAUUCUGGGAGCGACCCAAUUUCCCUAAUUUGAUAUGUUAUGAAAUCAAAUACCAAACCAAUAUGAGCACGAGUAAAAUAUUGCUGGGCAUAUGAUCUCGAUAACGAUGCCAUCGGAACAGAUGCGCAUCGAUGCAGCAAAAAAGAGGAGGAAAAAGUUCAAAACCGCAAAGUUUCGCCGUGUUUUAAUUCCGCCGGCCCGAAAUACAUUUGCUGAACCGGUAAAAUCUUUCCAUCAACUUUGGCUAGUUGCUACCUACUUCUGUUUUGUACUUGAAAAGCUUUUUCAGAUAAGUUCGGAAAUAUUUAUUUCAAGUAUUGGUAUCAUGAUCCAGCUGUAGAAUGUUUGCUGCAGUCUACUGUCGGUGGGUGUGCUGGAGACUGAAUCCAAGCAUGGAGUUGCGUGUGCUGACCGCUAAUUUCAUCCAGCUUUCAUUAGAUCUGGCUCAAGUGAGGCGAUGCGGUCCAAAACAAACAAAAUAUACGCCUCUAAUUUGAGGAGGGCCAACAUUUAUUAGCGCAUCAGAUAAGAUAUUGUUAAGGUUGCCUUCACACAUCAUGAAAUUUAGGAAAAACGAAGUAGCCAGACCGGCCUCCACCCCGAAGCAUCGAAAAUGGACGAAGCAUCUGAAGCAAACUUUCACGGAGAGGGCUGGCGGUCCACGGACACUUCAAUGACAACAAAGAAUCUUCUAGCGACGGAAAGCCCAUGGAAUGACAAUUUACAUCGCAGUUUCUCAUUGCGAAGCUGGAAGUGGAAAACGGUUCUAAGAUGAUCGUGAAUCGGUCCAGCAAUUUCGGUUAUUUCCUACUCGUGUACCUAGCUUGGGUAAGUUAAAGUUUUAUGAAGGAUUUAAUUAUUAAACUAUCAUGAUAUUCUAAGAGGAACGAUUGCAUUUAAAAUAUGUAAACUAAAUGUAAUCAAAAUAAGGAAAACUAAACAUAAUUAUGUAUCGAGCAAAUUUUGGCUAUUUUGCGACAAGCAUCCAAUUUGAUCGUAUAUGUUAAUCAGUACAUUUUGAAACAGAGAUAAACUUUUUUGUAUAAGGUACACCGGGGUAAGUGGGGACGAUGGCUAUUAAAAACCUGUGAAUUUUUUUUAUAAACUUUUAAUGAAGAAUGUUAAAUUUACUUGUAAUCUAUCCAAUAACUGUAAAACAGAUACGGUUCCGACAAUAGCGGAUGAUUACGGUAAUUUUUUGUUAAUUUUAUAUUUUUAACUAAGAUGUGGAGUUGAUGUGCAUCUUUUUCAAUCGCAAAUUUCUCGUAAACUAGCUGACUCUUGACGAAAAACUCUACAUUGAAACAAUUCUUACAACCAGUUAGAAAAGAAACGACGGUUUAAAAUUAAGAAAAAGGAGUUUGUUUGCAAAAAUCUAAAAUUUUGUCUCCAAACCCUACCUGGGGUAAGUGGGAACGGUUUCAUACAUACUUGAUAUUUACACAUUUUUUUGUACUCUACGAGAGCGAGAGCUUUUGCAAGCAUAUUUGGAAACUGCACAAAACCUGUAUCUUUCGUCUCUGCCCUACCAGAUGUAUUUCGGAUUGGGCAUUGAAGAUUUGUCGGAGCUAAAGUACAAAUCGUUUGGAGGGUUUAAUUUUCGAUCAACAAUAAGGACAACUGUAGCAUAGAGACGCUCAAUCAACUGAAUGUGAACUCAUUUAUGUACUGUGCUAUUCUGGUGGCGCAGUGCUUUGGAAAGCAAACAAAAUUACAAUUUAAAUUUUCGAGUUUAACAGAAAAGAAUAUGGCACAAGCCACAACUGUGAUCAGUUCGACAGCCAUCACUCCGCUGCCGAUCGAGAAAGCUCCUCCCGUAUAUGUAGACAUAACUAAUUCCGACUAACAUUCCCACGGCUACCACACAACCCACCUACAGCGUUACCGUUCCUGAACAAAACAUCAAACACAGCGUGUUCUGAAGGCCACCACCAUUCCUUCCAUCGCACCAGGAAUGUUCGCCCAAAACAUCGUAUCAGCCACUGCUUAUACCUUUUUUUCUGCCGCUGCCGAUAAAGAAGCAGAAGAGGCGAACAGCUGCACAAAAUUGCUGCGAAUCAUUCGAUUGCCGGAACUGUUGAUCAAAAUCAUGGAGAGUUGCACUUGAAGUGGUUCUUUCUACAUUCCAUCGCAUAUUCACAAACUGCGCUUCGAAGGCCCCACCCUAGAAGAACACAAGGUAGAUUGUUUGAAUUAUCUCAUUUCUCACCACUCCCAACAAAUUGAAUUGAAAAAAAGGAAAACCAGUAGCGUCCACGAUUAAUGAAGAGCCGUCAUCUGGUGGUGGAAACGGCCCCGACGCCAUCGCAGUCACUCCCUCGGUGGUUGCGCCAACAAUUUCCGUUCCAAUGGCCACGACCAUUCCUUCCAUCGCACCAGGAAUGUUGGCUCAAAACAUCGUAUCAGGCGCUGCUUAUACCUCUUCUUGUGCCGCUGCUGAUAAAGAAGCGGAAGAUGGUGACGACGAUGACACGGGCUUCGUUUCCAGUCAAAAUGAGCGGUGAAAAUAAGUUCAAAGUUUUUUAGGACUGCAAAGAGUUGAAGAGGCCUCGCUGAGUUUUGCGUAGCAAAACUGAUUCAAACAAAUUUUGAAUUGUCAUGCAAGCGAAUAUGUGCAUAAAAUUGCUGCCAACCAUUCGAUUGAAUAAGCUUGCGCCAGACAUCGCAAUGUCUUAUAGCCGGAGAGGCAGCAAAGGAAUAAAAUAGAACA